rnacentral:rRNA from 1 species
CCUACGGGGGGCAGCAGUGGGGAAUAUUGGACAAUGGGCGAAAGCCUGAUCCAGCCAUGCCGCGUGUGUGAAGAAGGCCUUCGGGUUGUAAAGCACUUUCAGUGGGGAAGAAAGCCUUGGGGCUAAUACCCUCGAGGAAGGACAUCACCCAUAGAAGAAGCACCGGCUAACUCCGUGCCAGCAGCCGCGGUAAUACGGAGGGUGCGAGCGUUAAUCGGAAUUACUGGGCGUAAAGCGCGCGUAGGCGGUCUGAUAAGCCGGUUGUGAAAGCCCCGGGCUCAACCUGGGAACGGCAUCCGGAACUGUCAGGCUAGAGUGCAGGAGAGGAAGGUAGAAUUCCCGGUGUAGCGGUGAAAUGCGUAGAGAUCGGGAGGAAUACCAGUGGCGAAGGCGGCCUUCUGGACUGACACUGACGCUGAGGUGCGAAAGCGUGGGUAGCAAACAGGAUUAGAUACCCCAGUAGUC